rnacentral:rRNA from 1 species
UACGGGGGGGGCAAGCGUUGUUCGGAAUUACUGGGCGUAAAGGGCUCGUAGGCGGCCAACUAAGUCAGACGUGAAAUCCCCAGGCUCAACCUGGGAACUGCGUCUGAUACUGGAUGGCUUGAAUCCGGGAGAGGGAUGCAGAAUUCCAGGUGUAGCGGUGAAAUGCGCAGAUAUCGGGAGGAACACCGGUGGCGAAGGCGGUUCUCUGGGCCUGUACUGACGCUGAGGAGCGAAAGCGUGGGGAGCGAACAGG